rnacentral:rRNA from 1 species
CAGGACGAACGCUGGCGGCGUGCUUCAUACAUGCAAGUCGAACGAUAAGGUCUCUUCGGAGAUACAUAAGUGGCGGACGGGUGAGUAAAAUGUAGAGAAUCUGCCCUAGAGUGGGGGACAACAGAGGGAAACUUCUGCUAAUACCCCAUAUGCGCGUAGCUGAGAUGCUAUUCGUGAAAACUCCGGUGCUCUGGGAUGAGUCUGCAUCUGAUUAGCUAGUAGGCGGUGUAAUGGACCACCUAGGCGACGAUCAGUAGCUGGUUUGAGAGGAUGAUCAGCCACAAUGGGACUGAGACACGGCCCAUACUCCUACGGGAGGCAGCAGUAGGGAAUUUUGCGCAAUGGGGGAAACCCUGAACCGCAGCAACGCCGCGUGACCGAUGAAGCCCUUCGGGGUGUAAAGGUCUGUCAGUGGGGACGAAACUUGACGGUACCCACAGAGGAAGCAUCGGCUAACUCCGUGCCAGCAGCGGC